CCCAGUGUUCAGACUACCUGUUCAGGCGCCUCUGCAUGUGUACAGUAGUCUGCACAUUGGUUA
rnacentral:pre_miRNA from 1 species